AGUGCGACGCAUGGCUCAAGAUGACUUGCCUUCUCCGUUUCAUAAAAUCCGAAUGACUGGGUCUGUUUGGUCAGACUUGUCAGACUUUUUGCUCAGCUUAACUUGUAUUCAUAUUAGCAUCUUUACCAGCAUUUAAAUAUGUUUGAAUGAAACAAGAAUCUUACUCAAAUAGGAGAUGGAAAAGAACCAUAUGUUCUCCAGGAACUGCUCCAUGGUCACCUCGUCCAGGAGCACAAAGUCCGACUUGCCAUACUCGAAGCCCUCCAGCUCCGCCAUCCCGGCAAUGGAUGCAGAGACGAGUGGAUGAUGACAGGAAAGAAAGAGAAAGAGAGAGGGAAGUAGUAAAGUGUAGUCUACAAGCCGGUAGAGGAGGCUGAAGCAAAAUGACGUGGGUGUGGCGUAAAGCCCGCUUUUGGUUCCACUGUGGCUUCAGUUGUGGUCUGCACUCUAUAGCACGUCAUCCUGUGUGUUCCUUUAUCGAAAGCCUAUUUCCAAAAUGAAGAGAGGAAAUGUAAACCAAGAUGUCACUGUGAAGUCCAACUUUCAUCAACACAAAAAACACGAGGUUGACAGGAACUCCAUGUAUGGAUGAAAGAACAGGGAAGUGGUUUUUGGUUCUUCUCCUGAUCUACAUAAAGGUCACCUGAUGGAAGCCAUAACUUGGACUAAUGAUGUGGUGAAUUGUGGAAUAUUAAUAUUUUCAUUGAAAUGUUGUUUUAUAGCCAUUAGAAAUGGUAAACCUGGAGCCUAUCAGGGCCAUGGGACUCAGGGGACACCCUGGAUGGGGUACCAUACCAUCGCAUGAAAACACAAUACCAACAAUUUAGGCAUUCAGCCAAUCAUCCUACAACGCAUUGCUGUUGGACUGAGGAAACCAAAGGAACCCAGAGGAAAUCCCUGAAGCACGGGGAGAACUCACAAAUCGUACCCCUAACCUCAGAGGUGCAAAGUAAACAUGUGAACCAUUAAGUAUAUAUUUAAAAAUAAAAGGUCAUUAUGAAAGACGAGGUGACUGGAUUGGUGUUGUCAUUAUGUUUGGAGGCUUUCUACUGUGUGGAUAAAGUGGAUCCACUGUUAAGAGAACAAGGACUGUUUCAUGGUGUCACUGAAGAAACACAUAUGAUUGUACAGAUGAAAACAAAGUAAAAUUAAAACUUUAUCAGUUUAUAUAUUUUUACUUUGCUGUUGUUUUUUGCUAGAAAGAAUAAAUAUUUAUUAUUAUAUUAUGUUCAUUAUAUUAUGUUUAAUUGUGUUGAUUAAUGACUGCAAUGUUCAAAAUCAUGUACUGUGUUUAUUCAUUGUUUAAUAUUACAACAAAAAAAAAUCAACUAUAGAAGUAUAUGAUAUAGCUGAAUUUUGUAUACUGUAUGCUAAAUGGUGAGGAGUAGUCACACAGACAACAUGAGGGAUGAAUUGUCAUAGCACCAUCCGCUGGAUGGUGAGGCCUAUAAAGCAAAUUUUCCCAAUACUCCUCUUAUAUGUUUUUAUUACAUUCUUACCAUGCAUGUUAAAUAAGGUGGACUUUGUGUUUUUAAAUAGAAGAAAAAUGAGAAAUGUGUACAGAGAAUAUUGUAGAAGUUUAUGCAAAAAUGUUAAAUAAAU